CCUACGUGUGGCUGCAGUGAGGAAUAUUGGUCAAUGGGAGGAAUCCUGACCCAGCCAUGCCGCGUGCAGUACGACGGCUCUACGAGUUUUAAACUGCUUUUGUACCGGGGUAAAAUGCUCUACGCGUAGAGUUUUGAAAGUACGGUACGCAUAAGGAUCGGCUAACUCCGUGCCAGCAGCCGCGGUAAUACGGCGGAUCCGAGCGUUAUCCGGCUUUAGUGGGUUUAAAGGGAGCGUAGGUGGAUUGUUAAGUCAGUUGUGAAAGUUUGCGGCUCAACCGUAAAAUUGCAGUUGAAACUGGCAGUCUUGAGGACAGUAGAGGUGGGCGGAAUUCGUGGUGUAGCGGUGAAAUGCUUAGAUAUCACGAAGAACUCCGAUUGCGAAGGCAGCUCACUGGACUGCAACUGACACUGAGGCUCGAAAGUGUGGGUAUCAAACAGGAUUAGAUACCCGGGUAGUC
rnacentral:rRNA from 1 species